GAUGAACGCUAGCGGCAGGCUUAACACAUGCAAGUCGAGGGACGGUAGCAAUACUGGACCGGCAAACGGGUGCGGAACACGUACGCAACAUACCCUGAACUGGGGCAUAGCCUUCUGAAAAGGAGAUUAAUACCCCAUAAGAUAAUAGAGUGGCAUCACUUAGUUAUUAAAGAUUUAUUGGUUCAGGAUUGGCGUGCGUCCUAUUAGCUAGUUGGUAAGGGUAACGGCCUACCAAGGCGACGAUAGGUAGCUGGUGUGAGAGCACGACCAGCCACACGGGCACUGAGACACGGGCCCGACUCCUACGGGAGGCAGCAGUGAGGAAUAUUGGUCAAUGGAGGCAACUCUGAACCAGCCAUGCCGCGUGAAGGA
rnacentral:rRNA from 1 species